rnacentral:rRNA from 1 species
UACGUAGGGUGCGAGCGUUGUCCGGAAUUACUGGGCGUAAAGAGCUCGUAGGUGGUUUGUCGCGUUGUUCGUGAAACUCAGGGCUUAACCCUGAGCCUGCUUCCGAUACGGGCAGACUAGAGGUAUGCAGGGGAGAACGGAAUUCCUGGUGUAGCGGUGAAAUGCGCAGAUAUCAGGAGGAACACCGGUGGCGAAGGCGGUUCUCUGGGCAUUACCUGACGCUGAUGCGCGAAAGCCAGGGGAGCGAACGGG